rnacentral:rRNA from 1 species
UACGAAGGGGGCUAACGUUGUUCGGAAUUACUGGGCGUAAAGGGCGCGUAGGCGGUACUUCAAGUCAGGCGUGAAAGCCCCGGGCUCAACCUGGGAACCGCGCUUGAGACUGGAGAACUAGAGUUCGGGAGAGGAUGGUGGAAUUCCCAGUGUAGAGGUGAAAUUCGUAGAUAUUGGGAAGAACACCGAUGGCGAAGGCAGCCAUCUGGACCGACACUGACGCUGAGGCGCGAAAGCGUGGGGAGCAAACAGG